UACAGGGGUCUCAAGCGUUAAUCGGAAUCACUGGGCUUAAAGGGUGCGUAGGCGGGCCUGUAAGCGCUUUGUGAAAUCCCCCGGCUCAACCGGGGAACAGCAGGGCGAACUGCAGGUCUUGAGGCAGGUAGGGGCCGACAGAACAGUAGGUGGAGCGGUGAAAUGCGUAGAUAUCUACUGGAAUGCCGAUGGGGAAGCCGGUCGGCUGGGCCUGUCCUGACGCUGAGGCACGAAAGCGUGGGGAUCAAACAGG
rnacentral:rRNA from 1 species